rnacentral:rRNA from 1 species
AUCGAUGAAGAACGCAGCGAAAUGCGAUAAGUAAUGUGAAUUGCAGAAUUCAGUGAAUCAUCGAAUCUUUGAACGCACAUUGCGCCCCCUGGUAUUCCGGGGGGCAUGCCUGUUCGAGCGUCAUUUCAACCCUCAAGCUCAGCUUGGUCUUGGGCUCUGCCGGUCAUACGGCUUGCCUUAAAAACAGUGGCGGUGCCGUCGAGCUCUACGCGUAGUAAUUAAACCCUCGCUUCUGACCUCGACGAACGCUUGCCAGCAACCCCCAAUUUCUAUGGUUGACCUCGGAUCAGGUAGGGAUACCCGCUGAACUUAAGCAUAUCAAUAAGCGGAGGAAAAGAAACCAACAGGGAUUACCUCAGUAACGGCGAGUGAAGCGGUAACAGCUCAAAUUUGAAAUCUGGCUCUUUCAGGGUCCGAGUUGUAAUUUGUAGAAGAUGCUUCGGGUGUGGCUCCGGUCUAAGUUCCUUGGAACAGGACGUCAUAGAGGGUGAGAAUCCCGUAUGUGACUGGUUGCCUCCGCCCAUGUGAAGCUCUUUCGACGAGUCGAGUUGUUUGGGAAUGCAGCUCAAAAUGGGUGGUAAAUUUCAUCUAAAGCUAAAUAUUGGCCAGAGACCGAUAGCGCACAAGUAGAGUGAUCGAAAGAUGAAAAGCACUUUGGAAAGAGAGUUAAACAGUACGUGAAAUUGUUGAAAGGGAAGCGCUUGCAAUCAGACUUGCACGUUACCGAUCAUCCGGGGUUCUCUCCGGUGCACUCGGUUGCGUUCAGGCCAGCAUCGGUUUGGGUGGUUGGAUAAAGGCCUUGGGAAUGUAGCUUCUUUCGGGGAGUGUUAUAGCCCUCGGUGCAAUGCAGCCUACCCGGACCGAGGACCGCGCUUCGGCUAGGAUGCUGGCGUAAUGGUUGUAAGCGACCCGUCUUGAAACACGG